GUAAUUACAGUUACCUAAGUACUAUGUAAUUCAGCUUUAUUUAGCCUCUCCCGCACUUCAAUUCCUUCUAUUCAGAGGGACUGAUCUAAAGAGAGAUGUACUUACAUUUUAGUGUGGUUUAUAAAAGGAGCCAGAAACUUUGUUCUCACGACUUAUUCUACAGUGGUUUCAUCCAAUGGCAGUAAAAGCACCAUGCUCUGUCUGUCUGUCCGCUGUCUGUGUGUUUCAUUUUUUUUAUUUCCUAUCAGUCACAGGCCAAUAUCUUUACAUAACACAAUAAAGAUGAAUUAAUAGGAAGAUAAAAGCAUACAAAAUAGAAACCCAUGUUUGAUUCAAAAGCCGUAACAUAAGCUCUCAAGGGCACUGUAAGAUGCUCAGUGCCGACUUUGGCUUCCCGUGCACAGUUAUCUCCCCUCCAGGAGCCAUCACGGUUCCUAGCGUGCAGCUGUUGCCCAACAUCCCAAGAUGCAGGGUCUGUGGACCAAAGGGUCUCCACGUAAAUCUGUUCCCCCAGAGUUAGGCUUGAUACUGGUUUAAGGACAGUGAUUUUGUGAGAUUAUGGGCUUAAAGCAGGGAAGACAGACCGACUUGCAAACACGUGCACCCAGUUAAUCGGUGCCUUCCUUGGAGGUGAGAUUAUCUCAGUGGGCCCCUUUGAUGGCUCUGCAGAGUCGGACACACUAUUGCCCCCAGGUACCAGAGUCAACUACCUGGGAUGACACAGCUAAACAAUGGCAGAAGGUUACAGUGGAGCAAGGAUCUGUGACAGCCACUUUAGAGCCAAAGUUAGUCCCCUUCUGCCUUCUGUCCCCAUCACUGUUGCAAAUAAAAUUGAUUCUAAGGCCACAGAAGUACUUUGUUGGUGGUGAAAAUCUGCUAGUCUUGGCUCCUGAAUAUAUUUGAAAACAGUAUAGUUUUUUCCUGCAAGUUUAUUCUUUUAAAAAACAAACCCCAAAUCUUAACCUUAGCACCUCUCCAAAUCAGUUCUCAGAAGUACCCCUACUUAAUUUCUGAAAGAUAAGCAAUCGCUGUGCUUUAAUAAAAGAUGAGCCCUUUAAAAGGUAAUGAGCAACUUUGAGAAUUACUGCUAUUAAUACUGACAGUAAUCCCCACACACUCAAACCACAGAGUCUGUUCUGCAUAGAGCCCUGUUCAUUAUGUUUUAAAUACACGAGACUUCCCAUACCUUUUAAAUACCAUAUCCUAACUUCUUGGUUUUUUUUUUAAGUUUUCUUUUUCAUUAUGUGGGUAUGUGCACAUAAAUGUAGGUGCCACCAAAGCCAAAAGAGGGCGUCCAGUCUCCCGUGGCUAGAGUUACAGGCUCUUGUGAACCACUCGUGGGGCUGCUGAGAGCUGAACUCAGGUCCUCUGCAAGAGUAGAAAUACUCUCUAAACCACUCAGUCACCCUCCCCUGCUUGGUCCUAACAUAUCAAAUGUUCAGUAUACUUAACGAAUAGGUAGUAGUUGAUGAAUACGGUUUUUAUUUGUAUAGUUUGAGUUAUAUAUAAUACUUUUCAUAUAAAACCACUCUGUAACUACAAUGUAACUCAGUCUAAUAAUUAAAAUGUUGGGGUUUUUUAUUUAAUAAUAGCUGGGUAGCCCAUUUUAUCAUGCAUGUUCUAUUUAGGAGUUCCUUUAUUUCACAUUUGGAAUAAACUUGUCUCUCAUAAAGAAACAGCCUGGCAGCCUGGAAUUUGACAAGCUAAUUGGUCAUCAGAAUCACCUGGAAAGCUUGUUUCAGUGUUAUUUUUUUUCCCUGUGAGCUUUUUAAAGAAAAAUGUUCUUAAGUUCCCAUCAGUCAGUAUUGUUCUGACUACCUCAGUUAGCUGGCCUUUUGUGAAGGGCAGCGUUCCCUUAUCAAAUAUAAGUGAGUUACAAUUACUUCGGAAAAGUCACGUUAACUACUUAAUUCUUCUGUUAGCCACCGCACUUCUGCUAGAGCUCUCCAUCCAGAGGUGUCAGGGUCAUUUUCUCUCCAACAGCCAGACCUCCUUUCCUUAUGAUUUCUGCCUCUGACCUAAAAUUGCCCAAAAGAGACCAGUUCCAUUUAGUAGCUGAGAUCUUGAGUGUGGCUGGGCAUGCCUUUUCUAUUUGUUCCAUCUUCGGAACCCUUCCAAUGUACAGAGCAAGGAAUUGUGUUUGGUUCUUUUUCUCAUGAACUCACAUUGAGUUUUCUAAUUGAAAUGUAACAUUAAUUUUUUUAAUCAGAUUUGCAUCUCAUUGAAUUUUUACUUCUAACUAAUGAAUUUAUUUGCUGUGAAAGUAUAAUGCUGAUAUUAGUAGAGCUAAGAAUAAAGCAAUAAAUAAAGUUUAAAAUUUUCCAUACAGUUUUGUUUUUAAAAAAAAAGG
rnacentral:lncRNA from 1 species